rnacentral:sRNA from 1 species
CAAUGCGGUCUGGCAUCGUUAAUCAUCCGCCACUUUCUGUAUACCAGAUCACAUUUUAUUAUUUCUCUGGCUAUGCUUUAGUUAAUACGUGAUGUAUUUCCUCCACAAAUAUAAUAAAUACAAAUUAUGUUAAGCAAUAAAAAACCCCGGCUACAAACCGGGGUUAAUUUAAAUA